rnacentral:lncRNA from 10 species
UCCUGGGAAAGGCAUACACAACCCUGAGAUACUUGAAGGUAAGAAUAUGACAUUAUGAUUACUUGUAUCUUCAAUGUCCAGAAUAGUACUUGGCAUAUAUUAAGCUCAAGUUUAGGAGUCUUCAUUGUAUAUAGUUCUUACUAAAAGCCCUUGGAAUUCUUUUCUACCUGCUAUCCCAAUCAAUCUACUUUUCCUCUUUUCCUUCAUAGUCAAACUUUAGCCACAAAUGGUCUAAAACUCUGCCUUAAUUAUCUCAAUUUCCACAAUAUCAAAUAUUUCUUUUACUAAAAUUUGGCAAUUGCCCUACGACUUUACAGAAACAACACUCUUGAAAUUGCCCAAAAUUUCCUUCUCACUGUAUACUGCGUUUUUUAUUAAUUGAUCCUGUGAACUUCAGAAUUGAUGUACAUCUUGUUUUAAAAUCAUUUGUAUAUAAUUUAUUUACCUGACAGACUAUUAAAAAUUGAUAGAAUUUUUGUGUGUAUUAAUACCACAAAAAGUCUUAAACUUAGUAAGUCAGAUAAAGAAUGAAGGCCAUCUUCAAAGAUCUUACUACAGUUCUAUCCUUCUAUGUCUCCUUUGUAUCAGCUGAGACUGCUUACUAUCUUCUUCAAAUCUCUUUCCUCACAGGGAAGAGACAAUACCUCCAUCUGGCUCUAUACUACUUCUACUACUUCUAUGUGUUAAAUCAUGUGGGAAUGAAAGAGAAUUCAAAGGGUAAAUGGCACAAAUGUGAUUGGAUUUAGCCAGAAGAGGAAGUAGUAAUCAGGGUAGGACCAGCUGCAUGAUGAAAAAUGUCACUAUCAUUUUGACCAUGAGAUAGCAUCAGGGAUUUCAUCAUAAUCAAAAAGAUUUGU